rnacentral:rRNA from 6 species
AGAGUUUGAUCAUGGCUCAGAACGAACGCUGGCGGCGUGCUUAACACAUGCAAGUCGAACGCGAAAGGGACUUCGGUCCCGAGUAGAGUGGCGCACGGGUGAGUAACGCGUAAGUAAUCUACCCCUGUAUCUGGAAUAACCCACCGAAAGGUGAGCUAAUACCGGAUACGUUUAUCUUGAUGCGAAUGAUGAUAAAGAAAGGUGGCCUCUUCAUGAAAGCUACCGUACAGGGACGAGCUUGCGUACCAUUAGCUGGUUGGUAGGGUAAUGGCCUACCAAGGCGACGAUGGUUAGCGGGUCUGAGAGGAUGAUCCGCCACACUGGAACUGAAACACGGACCAGACUCCUACGGGAGGCAGCAGUGAGGAAUAUUGCGCAAUGGGGGCAACCCUGACGCAGCGACGCCGCGUGGACGAUGAAGGCCCUUGGGUCGUAAAAUCCUGUCAGAUGGAAAGAAAUGUACAGGUGUUAAUAUCGCCUGUAUUUGACGGUACCAUCAAAGGAAGCACCGGCUAACUCCGUGCCAGCAGCCGCGGUAAUACGGAGGGUGCGAGCGUUGUUCGGAAUUACUGGGCGUAAAGCGCGCGUAGGCGGUUUGCUAAGUCAGAUGUGAAAGCCCUCGGCUUAACCGGGGACGUGCAUUUGAAACUGGCAGACUUGAGUACUGGAGGGGGUG